AGUGAACGCUGGCGGUAGGCCUAACACAUGCAAGUCGAACGGCAGCACAGUAAGAGCUUGCUCUUACGGGUGGCGAGUGGCGGACGGGUGAGGAAUACAUCGGAAUCUACUUUUUCGUGGGGGAUAACGUAGGGAAACUUACGCUAAUACCGCAUACGACCUACGGGUGAAAGCAGGGGAUCUUCGGACCUUGCGCGAUUGAAUGAGCCGAUGUCGGAUUAGCUAGUUGGCGGGGUAAAGGCCCACCAAGGCGACGAUCCGUAGCUGGUCUGAGAGGAUGAUCAGCCACAAUGGAACUGAGAAACGGUCCAGACUCCUACGGGAGGCAGCAGUGGGGAAUAUUGGACAAUGGGCGCAAGCCUGAUCCAGCCAUACCGCGUGGGUGAAGAAGGCCUUCGGGUUGUAAAACCCUUUUGUUGGGAAAGAAAAGCAGCAGGUUAAUACCCCGCUGUUCUGACGGUACCCAAAGAAUAAGCACCGGCUAACUUCGUG
rnacentral:rRNA from 1 species